rnacentral:piRNA from 1 species
AGGAAGUGAGAGUUUGGGCCAGGAAGU